rnacentral:misc_RNA from 1 species
GCAAACUUGGUCAUUUAGAGGAAGUAAAAGUCGUAACAAGGUUUCCGUAGGUGAACCUGCGGAAGGAUCAUUAGAGAACCUGGGCCUGCGCUACUUGCGCGGCUCCAACCAAUACACAGUGUGUUAUACUUCUCUUGCUUUGGCUCUGCCAAAGGUUUUAAACACAGAAAUUUAUUUUCUCUAGAAACUAGUCAAUUUGAAUUUUAAUCUUCAAAACUUUCAACAACGGAUCUCUUGGUUCUCGCAUCGAUGAAGAACGCAGC